AUCUAACAGUAAAGGCAGGCUAUGCUGUGGAGACAUAGGAUGUUCCUCUCCAACCAGAAGGAAGAUUUUUAUAAGCCUUAUCUCCACAUACAAAAUAGUGAUCAGCUAGUGCAGUGAAGGUGUUGUUA